CUGAAAAAAGACGUGAAGUUUUAGGUACAGGAGCUACUGUAUUGUAUGUGCUUGAUAGACUUAAUAGCCUGACAUAAUUGUGUUGCACAUUCUGCUUUUCACUCCUGUCUGCAGUUGCAGCCUGGUGCUCUGCCCUGUUUAAAGGGCCUGAUGAAGUGGAAACCAGGAGUUUUGUGUCUGCCCAUCAGACAGGUGCAUGAGCCCUCCACAAUGUGCUGUGACCUGCACAGGAGCUCAUCCCCAGGAGGGGCAUUGCCAUACCUACACCACUCCAAGCCCCGUGGCUUUGCUGUCACAGUGAGUAACCACCUCCCAGCUGGGAGACAAGCACAAAGUACCACAGUCAUAUGUGACACCUGUCAGCAAGGUGCUGUCCCUCUCCCCAUGCCUGCAGCACUGCUCUUCCACCCAGCACCAUGCACUUCCCAGUGGGUUUGCUGGGGUGUUGUUCUGCCCCACGUGCCAUUGACACCUUAGAAAAAUAAGUAAUUUUUGCUCUAUUUGGCUAGUAAGCCUAACAAUACAAAUAUCACCCUUACUAGAUACUUUCUAAUUACUAUCUCUUCUCCCUACUUGUUUUCAUAUUAAAACAAUGAGGUUUGUUCCAAGGAACACUGGCUCUGACCUGAGACAGUCACACUCUCUGUGGCCUAGAUUCUGUUUUAUUUCCUUGCUCAGUGGAUCUCUGCUUUAUUAAUUAGUUGUUAUAAAUCUUGUUCUUUCUAGCCCAUAUUGCACUUAAGAUGCUGUUUUAAAUUCCUUCCUUACUUUCUCCUACUUUGUAUUAACAGCUCUUACCUAUGACAGUGUCAUAUCUGUCAGAGCAGCAGUCCCUAGGAGCUGAUCAAAUGCUGGACCAACCUGUCCAUGAGUUUGUCCUGUCCCAUGCUCCUUAGGGAUAGCAGCAGACAGAUGUGGUACUCCACAUUACCCCAAAACAAUGUCAGGAAUUUCACUUAAACAAAGAACAUGAACUGAUAGUUUAUCAGACCCAUGACAUUAAUUUCUCUGAUAAUUACAGAGAAGGAGCUGCAGACAGUCCUCUAGAGUGUCCAGGUCUGGCUUUCACUCAGGCACAGAAGGACAGAAGAUGCCCCAGAAGAGUUUCCCACAUUCCCACUUUGGGCAAAUAUUGCUGCAGAUCUGCAGAUGAUGAAGCAGAUUAACUGAGGAUCCCUUUCCUUUUAUAAACAAUUAUUUUGUCUGAUUUUUGUCUUCUUCCUUAAGAAAGAAAAUUGAUUGUACACUGAGGACAGCAAAAGUGAUGACUGAGAGGUGUAGCUCUUCCAACUAUUUUCCAGGAGAACCCCCUGUUUCUUCAUAUGUAAUACUCGACAGGUGUACCAGAUAAUUCCAGAAUACUACACAAUGCAUCAGUUUGGAAGAGAUCACAGUGGAUCAUCUGGUCCAACCUCCCUGCUCAAGCAGGGUUGUCCUAGAUCACAUUGCAUCCAGACAGUUCUUGAACAUUUCCAGUGAGAGCGACUCCACAGCUUCUCUAGGUAAUCUGUUCCAGAUUAAAUGAAACUAUUUUAGCUACCAAUUUUUUUUCCUGUUCCCAUCUAUUUCCCUGCUCAGAGCAAGCCAAGGAGCAGGCUUCUCAUCUUCCUACCAUAGUACUUCCUUAUGCUGCAGCUUCCAGUGAUUCCUGGGGAUUAAGUGUGUUGCUUGCCAUCAGGCAAUAUGUACAGCAUUAGGAAUACUUCAGACAAGUGAAGUCACACUAAAUUUGUGAUGGUUCUUUGGCAGCAUCGUAACAUUGCCAUACCUACACCACUCCAUGGCCCUAGCAGAUGUCCUGGAUACAGUUGCUUCUCCAGAAAUAUCAAAUGCAGAAGGAGGUAGUGUGCUUUCCAUAACCCACUCAGACAUCAGGAAACACCUACUCGCAACAGAAUGUGCAAAGGCACAGUCAUUUCCAUCAUCUUUGGUGCCAGCUGAGUCAGAAAACAUACUGCUGACUUUCAUAACUGCAGCUGAAGUGAGAGCUCAGGAAAUGGAGACACUAACAGCAGUAGCUUGAGGGACAGGGCUGUUCAAGCAUCCCAGCACUGCCCUUCUGGAGCAUCAGGCAGUGCCUUACAGCAAACCCCACAAACUCCUGGGGCUUCUUUGGGGCCAGAACACUGGCAGCACACCAAUAUGCCGGCCUUGCAAGUCCAAAUGGGAUGGAGAAUUUGUCUCAUACUCAGAAUAUGUAAAAAUUUUCAUACUCAGACUAAGCCUGGGCUAGCAAUCCUUGUCAAAGAUGAAACAGGCAUUUCUGAGACUGUGGACAAUGGACUUUUGCCUGAGUGGGCAUGUUUAGGAAAUGUGCUUCAAGUGAUGUCUCAAUGCUGGGAAAGUACACUGGGAUGGGUACAGAGUGAGCUUGCAGUCCUGAGGGCUAGCACACAUCAUUGCCCAGAAGAGCAGCCGGGGUAUCUUAGGCCGAAAGAAUGGGGGCCACUCAGUCAUGUGAAGGGAACAAGGUGAUACGAGCAGAUCAGCUUUGAUACAGUGUGAAAUCCCUCCUCGCCCUGCUUUAACCAAACUGUAGAUGGCCUUUAGUUCCUAUGCUCCAUGAUAAGGAAAACAGCUUUCCAGAUACAACCCCUUUGUCUCUUUCAAAAACCACCAACAACAAAAUCCCCUUUUUCAAACAGCUUUUAGCUAUCCACUAGCCAAGAGAGAGUUAAAAACCCUGGGAGCACGACAGGGAAGAGCUGCACAUCCUCUCUUCGGUGGUUUGGGCAGGAAGUAUAAUAGAAGGCUCAAUCAUUUCUUUAAAAACAUGACAGGAAACUUUCAUUUUCAUAUCCCAUUCACAGAUAAUGAAAAUGUACCAAAGAGAAGGAAAAUCUGACAGCAUUAAUGAGAGGACAUUCUUGAAAAUCAGAAACAAUGGGAAGGAAUGGGCAGAGAGACAGAAAUAAUUAUCAUAGCAGCAGUGUUUGCUGCACUGUUAUUAAGGUUUGUCAGAGUUUCAAUGAUUUUCUAAGUGCUUUUUUAUUUUCUACAGAAUAUGUAAAAAUGUUCUGUUUUGAACUUUUGUACAAAAGAGUUUAGUUGUAAUAUUUUAAAAUAAUUUUGGAGAAAAUGUUUCAGAUUCUGAUUUUACCUGUCUAAAUCUUAACUCUGGCUUUUUAUACUUUUUUUUUUUUUUUUUUUUAAAUCAGAAAUGUGGUACUCACCCAGCUGUAUUUAAAAGCCAACAGUUUUUUUUUAGAGGUGCAUUUUUAUCUAGCUGUAGAAACUAUUAUGCUAAAUUCAGGUUGGGUAGUGAGAAAUGUGGUCGUGUGGACUGUGCUGAGCAAAGCUUGGUGAGCAAUAGCUCUGAAGGCCAUGAAAGAAGAUGCUGAGUUACAAUAACCUGCAAAGCAACGAAAUGCACUGACUAUGGUGGGACAUGAAAGAAACCCAGGACUUCUUGGUUCUGUUGCCAACUUAAGGUACGUAUGGCCUUGGGCAAAUCACUUACCACUGCUCAGUUUACCUCCUUAGAAGAUACAAAAUUAUCUCACCCUCUGAGCUGUGCUGAACUGCAAUCACUAUCUGUAAUAUGGAGGUGCCCAGUAGUGACAAAGCACAAAAUAACAACAAUUUAUAGUAAGAAAAUAAGUUAGUAUAAAAAAAUCUCUUAAUGCCUGGGUUCUCUGCUAAACAAGUUCCCAGGUUUUUGGUGUGUGCGCUGGGCAUCUCUGAGGAGUAAAUCUCCAGUCUGACCCUUUUGAGACUGGUGGGCUUGGGAGAAAUGGGGCAUUUUUAGGACAGUCUGAUGGGAGGAAAGCCAGGCAGAAGGAAAAGUUGCCACAAGGUACUGCUGAGUGGAGGGAUAAUAAGGACUUGAAAUGGAAAUACUCUUUUUGUGCCUGAAAUGGAAGUAGAUGGCAGGGGGAAGAAGAGUAAGGCAACAAAACUGGAAUGUGAAAAACAAGAACUACUGCUUUAUGUCAACAGAGAAAAAAGAG